rnacentral:ncRNA from 1 species
AAAUACGCGUAGACGAAGAAUAGUAGGCUGCAGGAUUCCCCACAGAGAGCCGUGGUUGCUGGGAGCACGGCGGGAUGAAACAGUUCGAACUCGCUUCUGAGCGGUUCCGCUGAACUUGAACGGUAGGCGGAAACGGGUUCUCCCGUUACAGGGAAAGGGUAUCCGGCCGGUACCCUGUAAAGCGGCGUCUUCUAUGGACGAAUCGGAGUGGUAACGCGGUGAAAAUCAUCGUCUCUUCA